rnacentral:rRNA from 1 species
AUGAUGGGCUUCGACGGCGGCAUUGGCGAUCAGAGUGAGAUGUGGGACUGGCAGAGUCAAGAGUUCGAUUUGCAGAAGGAUCUGUUACCAGUUCCAUCUACCUCCCUGUGGGCUGAAGCAAACCACAGUGAGGUUGAUUCUUGGAGCCUGUUCGAUGAGCAAACCCCAAUUAAAGAAUGUACAGACAUAGAUUUACCCUUCUGUGAUAUAGGAGAUAUUAUUAUCAAGGACUUUGAUGAAGGAAAGGAAACCUUACAAGCUAAACGAAGGCGUAUGCUGCAGUUCUGUCCAGACAAUGCUGAGAUGGAUUGUUGUUCUCUGACGGAUGGGCUCUUGGAAAAUCUGCAAGUGGAUUUGGAUUUCUCUAGUGACGAGCAUUUGUUACAGUGUGAUGGGACAGAGGAAAUACCUGAACAAUGGCUGGUUGAUUGCUCACAAGACAGUGAGAAUCGUUCGCCGCCGGAAGAAGUGAAAAGCCCUAGUGCUGCUGUGGAAGCCAAUAUCUCUGCUCUUCAGAAUUCGUUAAUCGAGCUUGAGGAGCAGCCUAUCACGAAAGUUGAGAAGAAACCUCCGCAAGCUAAACCUACACCUCUGAAAGCUGGAAGAAGCGUCAUCAGAGCAAAGAAGCUGAAAGUGGCAUCGGUGGCCUACCCAUUCGAGCUCAUCAAGCCGUGCGGGUUCCGCGGCGACACCACCCUGAGGGACAUAAACCGGAAGAUCCUCGCUCCUCCCUCGUACAGGAUCAAGCACAAGAUCGACGAGGCGUCCGCCCCGUACCAGGAGGCCUCGGCCAUCUCCGGGAAGCCGGUGGUCCACAAGACAAAGAUCCACACCGAAGGGGGGAAAGGCAGCAUCACCAUCACAAGAACGAGAGGCUGA